rnacentral:rRNA from 1 species
UACGUAGGGUGCGAGCAUUAAUCGGAUUUAUUGGGCGUAAAGGGUGCGUAGGCGGAUCGGCAAGUCAGUUGUGAAAUGCUUGAGCUCAACUGAAGAAUGGCAAUUGAAACUACCGAUCUUGAGGAUAGGCGGCGAUAACGGAAUUCCACGUGUAGCGUGAAAUGCGCAGAUAUCAGGAGGAACACCGGUGGCGAAGGCGGGUCUCUGGGCCGAUACUACGUGAGGAGCGAAAAGCGUGGGGGAGCAAAACAGG